UAGCACAAGGGAGCUUGCUCCCUGGGUGACGAGCGGCGGACGGGUGAGUAAUGUCUGGGAAACUGCCUGAUGGAGGGGGAUAACUACUGGAAACGGUAGCUAAUACCGCAUAACGUCGCAAGACCAAAGAGGGGGACCUUCGGGCCUCUUGCCAUCAGAUGUGCCCAGAUGGGAUUAGCUAGUAGGUGGGGUAAUGGCUCACCUAGGCGACGAUCCCUAGCUGGUCUGAGAGGAUGACCAGCCACACUGGAACUGAGACACGGUCCAGACUCCUACGGGAGGCAGCAGUGGGGAAUAUUGCACAAUGGGCGCAAGCCUGAUGCAGCCAUGCCGCGUGUGUGAAGAAGGCCUUCGGGUUGUAAAGCACUUUCAGCGAGGAGGAAGGUGGUGAACUUAAUACGUUCAUCAAUUGACGUUACUCGCAGAAGAAGCACCGGCUAACUCCGUGCCAGCAGCCGCGGUAAUACGGAGGGUGCAAGCGUUAAUCGGAAUUAUUGGGCGUAAAGCGAGCGCAGGCGGUUUCUUAAGUCUGAUGUGAAAGCCCCCGGCUCAACCGGGGAGGGUCAUUGGAAACUGGGAGACUUGAGUGCAGAAGAGGAGAGUGGAAUUCCAUGUGUAGCGGUGAAAUGCGUAGAUAUAUGGAGGAACACCAGUGGCGAAGGCGGCUCUCUGGUCUGUAACUGACGCUGAGGCUCGAAAG
rnacentral:rRNA from 1 species